AUGGCCCGCCCAUUCAAGAGCAAAUGCAGUGUAGGAUUAAAGUAAAUUGAGUCACGAGGACAAAAAAUAGUGGUCUUUCUUCAUACCGGCCCGCCCAGCUUUUGCUACGUAGCUCCGCUAGCUACUACACACCCCUAUCUUUAUAAGAAUGGCUCAGAACCCACUACAACUUCACUUCGUCUAUUUGAACAUGGCACUCCAUGUAGAAAUAGUAGCUAGUUCAAAAUUAUUCAGCCACGUACUAUCUGGUUAAUUUCUGUAAAAAGAAAUUAAGAGGUUAAUUAAUUAGUCAUCCCUUUGAAUAGUAAUGCUCACCUUUUGUGAUGCUUAGAUUGGACGGUGAAAUUUAGAAACUCACCUCAUCUCUCCAUCCUAACGUAUACCCUUCGCUAGUCUCAUGAAGAUGAGAUCUAUGAAGAUUCAACAUAGUACCUGUAGAAAGAAAAUAGUUAUGUACCAGUAGGAAGCAACUCUAUGCAUGUCCUUACUCGUUAAUAAUCUCAGGCCAUGAUUGCAUCAGCAUCCAAUUGUUUUCGGUUUGCUACACUGAUCAAUUUGUUUGGAGCAAUGACCAUAAUAUCAAACUACUGGAUGAGAUUGCUUUCAGUCUGCAAGACAGAUCAAUUUUCUUGAAAUAAUCACAAAGCUAUCAAACAACUGGAAGGAAUGAACUAUGAAAAAAUCUAAGGAGAGCUAUUCGAAUGAAACUAUCGGCAUGCAGAAGUACAGCUUUCAGCAAUGGUAAUAAAUAGAAUGACCUAGACGCAUGCCAAGCAAUGUGAAAAUGAAUGUUCUUUGCGUAAAUAUUUCUUCAUCUUUAGCUAGUAUGUAACAAAUAUGGCAUUAGCCAUAUGAUAUAAUACAGUAGAACAUAUAAGUACGUUCUUUUUCAAAGACUUAGCACAAAGAACCAAAUCAUCCAGUUAGUCGGUUCACUUAAAAUCAAUCCACAUACUUGUCAUGUCGCAGACAUUUACCUUUGGUAAACUAAGUAAUUAACAUUCGCAGAUAUUGUUAUGCUUUCUUGUUAGGAAAAGCAAUCAAAAUUCCCCAAAAGGCAUUAAGUUGUCACACAGUUGUAUGUCUGCGUCUUGUCCAGAAGGUUUAAGCAACCGUCAAAUGUGGCCAUUAAGCAAGUUGAGACUACCUUUUGCAGAGAAUAAAUAUGAUCCCAAAAGAAUAAUUCCCUGUGGCGACUUGGAAAAUAAAUGUGCUGCCGAGUAAUUAACUUCAUAAUUAAGCACACAAGUCAUCUGCAUCAAUACCGUUACAUUAAAAUGUAGCAACAACAUGUUAUUUUAGCAUUAUUCCCUUGGAAUUUGUACAAUGUAGUGAUGAAUGCGUGGCACAAAAAAGAGAUGUGGCAUUAUGGUUGGUACCUUGAAAAAGGCCUUGCUCUUGAGCUGGUUGUCCACUGCUCAUGAACUGAACGAAACUAGUAGACGGCCCGUGCGUUACCACGGGCUUUUUAAAUUUUAUAUAUCGCUUGCAUCUUAGAGAAAUAAUGAUAGAGAGAUGUUAAGUUCAUCGUAGUGUUCAUUUGGUUAUACUGGAGAAAUAAGAUAACAUUCCCUCAGACAAAUUUAUUUUUAUUGAUAAAUGAAUUCCCUCCUGCCUAAGUGGUUGACCUGGUAGGCAAAGGAGAAUUUCAUAACAUGUAUAUGGUACCUUGCUAGAAUAAAAAAAUUAACUGAUAUAUUUGCCUCAAAAUCAGAAUGGAUGAAAUUCCCACAGAAAAUAUAGCGUGCGAUUACGAGGAUUAAUAGCACACUAAAUCGUAUUUCUGAAUGCAUAGGACUGCAGAAGUGUUAUUUCUUUGGAAAAAAUGGACAGAGCAAAUGAGGACGGUCCAAUGCAGGUUCUGCCGCUUCUAUUGUACACAUGUGUUUAUACAUAAUCUGUUGGAAACAAAAAGGAACAAAAUAUGUUGAGUAGGCAACGGUAUGUUUUAGAAGAUGAUGACUUCCUAAUAUUGAAGCACAUAACUGAACUCUACUGAAUAGUGGCAGAUGAAUCAUAGGUACAGGAAAAGAGUGAACAAAUAGGUAUUAUUUCUGUUACUCAC
rnacentral:lncRNA from 1 species